rnacentral:rRNA from 1 species
AUUGAACGCUGGCGGCAGGCCUAACACAUGCAAGUCGAACGAGUGGCGGACGGGUGAGUAAUGUCUGGGAAACUGCCUGAUGGAGGGGGAUAACUACUGGAAACGGUAGCUAAUACCGCAUACCAUCAGAUGUGCCCAGAUGGGAUUAGCUAGUUGGGGGGGUAACGGCUCACCAAGGCGACGAACCCUAGCUGGUCUGAGAGGAUAUCCGGCCAAACUGGAACGGAAACACGGUCCAAACUCCGACUGGAGGAAGCGGUGGGGAAUAUUGCACAAUGGGCGAAAGCCUGAUGCAGACAUGCCGCGUGUAUGGAGAGGGCCUUCGGGUUGUAAAGUACUUUCAGCGGGGAGGCGUUACCCGCAGAAGAAGCACCGGCUAACUCCGUGCCAGCACCGCGGUAAUAC